GGCAACAUGGUAUAGUGGUUUAAGCAUUGGACUAGGACUCUACAGGCCAGGGUUCAAAUUCCCACUUGGCCA